GACGGAGGGUGCUAGCGUUGUUCGGAAUGACUGGGCGUAAAGGGCGCGUAGGCGGCCGCUUGCGUCGGAUGUGAAAGCCCGGGGCUCAACCCCGGAACGGCAUCCGAUACGGGGCGGCUCGAGACCGAGAGAGGUGAGUGGAAUACCCAGUGUAGAGGUGAAAUUCGUAGAUAUUGGGUGGAACACCGGUGGCGAAAGCGGCUCACUGGCUCGGUUCUGACGCUGAGGCACGAAGGCCAGGGGAGCAAACGGG
rnacentral:rRNA from 1 species